GUCCAUCGGGAUUCCCCGAUUUUUGCCUAAGUCGUUUUUUGAGGUGUUUGACUUAGCGGGCUUUUUCUUCUUUCUUUUUCAAAAAAUUGUGACUGCCAUGUUAUUGGUGGAUGAGGAAGAACCCCUACAACUUUUUUAUUUUCUCAGUUUCUGUGAAACUUCAAGAUGUGUGCGAAGAAUAACAAGUGGUUGAACUUCUUUGGAGGAUGUGUAGAGAUGGACGAAUCUUGUUAAUGCACAUUCAAACUAUCUGAAC
rnacentral:lncRNA from 1 species